rnacentral:rRNA from 1 species
CCUACGGGAGGCAGCAGUGAGGAAUAUUGGUCAAUGGGCGCAAGCCUGAACCAGCCAAGUCGCGUGAAGGAUGACUGCCCUACGGGUUGUAAACUUCUUUUAUAAAGGAAUAAAGUGAGGCACGUGUGCCUUUUUGUAUGUACUUUAUGAAUACGGAUCGGCUAACUCCGUGCCAGCAGCCGCGGUAAUACGGAGGAUCCGAGCGUUAUCCGGAUUUAUUGGGUUUAAAGGGAGGGUAGAGGGGUUGUUAAGUCAGUGGGGAAAGUUUGCGGCUCAACCGUAAAAUUGCCAUUGAUACUGGCAGACUUGAGUACAGUUGAGGUAGGCGGAAUGCGUGGUGUAGCGGUGAAAUGCUUAGAUAUCACGAAGAACUCCGAUUGCGAAGGCAGCUUACUAAACUGCCACUGACGCUGAUGCUCGAAAGCGUGGGUAUCAAACAGGAUUAGAUACCCCAGUAGUC